AUUGAACGCUGGCGGAAUGCUUUACACAUGCAAGUCGAACGGUAGAGGGGGCAACCCCUUGAGAGUGGCGAACGGGUGAGUAAUAUAUCGGAACGUGCCCAGUCGUGGGGAUAACGUAGCGAAAGUUACGCUAAUACCGCAUACGAUCUAAGGAUGAAAGCGGGGGGACUCGCAAGAGCCUCGCGCGAUUGGAGCGGCCGAUAUCAGAUUAGGUAGUUGGUGGGGUAAAGGCUCACCAAGCCAACGAUCUGUAGCUGGUCUGAGAGGACGACCAGCCACACUGGAACUGAGACACGGUCCAGACUCCUACGGGAGGCAGCAGUGGGGAAUUUUGGACAAUGGACGCAAGUCUGAUCCAGCCAUUCCGCGUGCAGGAUGAAGGCCCUCGGGUUGUAAACUGCUUUUGUACGGAACGAAAGGUUUCUAUUAAUACUAGGAGCUCAUGACGGUACCGUAAGAAUAAGCACCGGCUAACUACGUGCCAGCAGCCGCGGU
rnacentral:rRNA from 1 species